AUGUCGCCGUCCCUACGAAAGGACGUGGCCUUGUUCGAGUCCGAGCUUAGAUGCAUCCAGGUCGCCAUCCUCUGCUGCGACGAACUCGAGGAGCCCGACGCCCAGACCAUGCUCUGGGUCCACCAGCUCCGCGACCUAGCCUACGACAUCGAGGACUGGCUCAGCCUCGUCGCCGACGCGGACACCGGCACCUCCUCCCGGUUCACCCGGUGGUUCCGCCGCGGACUCACCACCGUCCCUGACCGCUUCGUCGUCGCCACCCAGCCGCGGGAACUCUGGAGGCGCGUCCUCGAGGUGGCCGAGCGGCGGAAGCGCUACAGCUACACCCUAGGCCCGCAGAUCGGCAGCGCGGGGUCCCAUUACGCCGACCCACGGCUCAUCACGAGCCACGCCGACAGCGCGAGCCUCGUCGGCAUGGAUGGGCCGCGGAGCGAGGUGGUGGAUAUGGUUACCGCGGCGGGCUCGGACGGGCUGAAGGUGGUGCCCAUCGUCGGCAUGCCCGGCUCCGGGAAGACCACGCUUGCCAGGGAGGUGUAUGGGCUGGUCGGUGACGGGUUCGAUUGCCGCACGUCCGUGCGGGCCGGCCGAAGCUCCGACAUUGCCAAGGUGCUCGGUGAUAUGCUAUUCCAAGUGGACCGCGAAUACAGAGGUCGAGCUGUUGGUGGCUAUUAUGUACAUAUGUUGAUUAACUGAUCACUUCCUUUUGGUCAUUGUAGGUAUCUUGUCAUGGUUGAUGAUGUAUGGAGUGUUCAAGAUUGGGAGAUCAUCAACGACUGUUUUCCGGAGAACAAUCUCGGUAGCCGGGUAAUCAUCACAACACGAAUUGAGGCCGUUGCGAACGCCGCAGGUGACCAUGUUUACAGGACUCGUCUUCUCGACGAACAUGAUGCUGAAACUUUGUUUUCCCAAACAAGUUUUGGCGGUGUGGGUGGGUGCCCUCCUCAUUUGAAGGAUAUUUCAGCUCAGAUCAUGAGAAAGUGUGGGGGUUUGCCACUCGCUAUAGUAAGCGUGGGUGACCUGUUAGCCAGCAAGGCGCACACAAGAGAUGAGUUUGAGCGGUCUGGCCUGAAAUGGCGGGCAAAUUCAGAGAUAGAAGGGAUGAAACAUAUCAUCAAACUUAGCUACAACGAUCUUCCUCCUCAUCUCAGGCCAUGCCUGUUGUAUCUGAGCAUAUUUCCUGAGAACCAUGAGAUCGAAAUAGAGCGUCUUGCGAGGCGAUUAACUGCAGAAGGGCUCAUCAGUGAAUGAUGUUACAGAGAUAUGGAGGAAACAGCAACAGACUACAUAAAUGAGCUCAUUGACAGAAACUUAAUCCUGCCAUCCCGGCUGAACCAUGAUGGCACCCAUGGGAGCUGCAUUGUUCAUCCAGUAGUACAUGAUUUCAUCGUGUGCAUGUCCAUGGAAGAUAAUUUUGUUACUCUGGUACAUGCUCAACAGAAAUUUGCCCCGUCUGGCUAUCGCACCGUCCGACGGCUGUCUUUGAUGAAUAGCAGUAAAUAUGACCAGUCUGUUGCACCAAUAGAUGGGGCGAAAGUUUCUCGUGCUCGCUCCAUCACCGUAUUUUCUCACACCGGUGGCAUGCCUCGUCUGAAUUAUCUCAGUGUACUGCAAGUUCUGGACCUCGAAGACUGUGAAGGUCCACUAUGCCUUGAUGGUCUCUGCAGAUUGCUGCUUCUGAGGUACUUGAACCUCAAGGGAACAGAUGUCAGCAAGCUCCCACCAAAGAUAGGGGAGCUAAUAUGCCUAGAGACACUGGAUGUGAGAUCCACAAAGGUAAAAGAGCUACCUCCCAGCAUUCUCAAGCUGGAAAAUCUAAAGCAUUUGCUUGCUGGAAAUGCGAGGUUGCCGACCGGGAUAAGAAAGUUGAGGUCAGUGCUGACAGUUUCGUGUAGCAAUAUCGGAAACAGCGCCGAUGCGGAUAUCCUUCAAGAGCUUGGUGAAAUGGCAAGCUUGAGUGAACUGGAACUAUUUUGCAACUUUACACAGAUGUCUGGGGGUAAGGAACAAGUCACGUUUCCGAGUGACGGGUUUAAGAGUCUUAGGAAACUUUCCAUUCGAUGCAACUCGCCAUCGGUGGCCUUCAUGACCGGCGCUCUAUCGAAGGUUCGAGUGCUUGAGCUGAAGUUGGAACAACCUGUUUCGGAGAGGUCAAGAGGUGUGUCUGGCAUAGAGCAUCUGCCGCACCUGAAGCACAUGCUCAUGGAGUAUUCGCAGCAUGAUGCGGGUGCUGCAGCAGCAAUGGCUGUAGUCAGGAAGGUUGUUGAGACCUGCCCUAGAUGUGAAGUGAUCACUGUGAACGUUGAUAGCUAG
rnacentral:rRNA from 1 species